CCUACGGGAGGCAGCAGUGGGGAAUAUUGGACAAUGGGGGAAACCCUGAUCCAGCAAUGCCGCGUGGGUGAAGAAGACCUUCGGGUUGUAAAGCCCUUUAGGUGGAGAAGAAAGUUUUGAAGUAACGUUCAAAAUAUGACGGUAUCCACAGAAUAAGCACCGGCUAACUCUGUGCCAGCAGCCGCGGUAAUACAGAGGGUGCGAGCGUUAAUCGGAUUUAUUGGGCGUAAAGGGCGCGUAGGCGGUUAAAUAAGUAAAAUGUGAAAUCCCCGGGCUUAACCUGGGAAGUGCAUUCUAAACUGUUUAGCUAGAGUAUGAUAAAGGGUAGUGGAAUUUCCGGUGUAGCGGUGAAAUGCGUAGAUAUCGGAAGGAACGCCAGUGGUGAAAACGACUACCUAGGUCAAUACUGACGCUGAGGCGCGAAAGCGUAGGGAGCAAACAGGAUUAGAUACCCCUGUAGUC
rnacentral:rRNA from 1 species